rnacentral:rRNA from 1 species
AGCUCCAAUAGCGUAUAUUAAAGUUGUUGCGGUUAAAAAGCUCGUAGUUGGAUUUCUGCCGAGGACGACCGGUCCGCCCUCUGGGUGAGCAUCUGGAUCGGCCUGGGCAUCCUCUUGGGGAACGUAGCUGCACUUGACUGUGUGGUGCGGUAUCCAGGACUUUUACUUUGAGGAAAUUAGAGUGUUUCAAGCAGGCUUCCGCCUUGAAUACAUUAGCAUGGAAUAAUAAGAUAGGACCUCGGUUCUAUUUUGUUGGUUUCUAGAGCUGAGGUAAUGAUUAAUAGGGAGAGUUGGGGGCAUUCGUAUUUAACGGUCAGAGGUGAAAUUCUUGGAGCUGUUAAAGACUAAAGACAGACUACUGCGAAAGCAUUUGCCAAGGAUGUUUUCA